GGGGCCUUGAAUUUAGUCCCACAUCGACUAGUAGCGGAAAGGUUCCAUGCCUUAAAUGGGGGGUGGAAAUCCUUUCCUCUCGAGGCGCCUUUUGAAGGGCAAACCCGUGAGGGCACCAGUCUCCCCCCGUCAGCGCUGGACGCGCGGGCCGGAGCGGCCAAAGCGGACAAUACCUCGGGAGGAACGUGGUCCUCUUUCUCUGCUAGUUUAAUGUGGGUUAUGCUGUUGCGCGAGGCUCCGGCCAAAGC
rnacentral:lncRNA from 1 species